rnacentral:rRNA from 1 species
CCUACGGGAGGCAGCAGUGGGGAAUAUUGCGCAAUGGGCGAAAGCCUGACGCAGCAACGCCGCGUGAGGGAUGAAGGCCUUCGGGUUGUAAACCUCUUUCAGCAGGGAAGCGGUACCUGCAGAAGAAGCACCGGCUAACUACGUGCCAGCAGCCGCGGUAAUACGUAGGGUGCAAGCGUUGUCCGGAUUUAUUGGGCGUAAAGAGCUCGUAGGCGGUUUGUUACGUCGGAUGUGAAAUCCUGGAGCUUAACUCCGGGCCUGCAUUCGAUACGGGCAGACUCGAGUGUUGUAGGGGAGACUGGAACUCCUGGUGUAGCGGUGAAAUGCGCAGAUAUCAGGAAGAACACCGAUGGCGAAGGCAGGUCUCUGGCACUACUGACGCUGAGGAGCGAAAGCGUGGGGAGCAAACAGGAUUAGAUACCCUUGUAGUC